rnacentral:lncRNA from 1 species
UUGUCGACUGAAAAAUCUCGAUUAAAGAGUGUCGACUUUUCACCAGAUGCGACAUCCUGCUCCCUGAAAAGCAACCAAAGCGCCGUGAAAGUUCUGAUCGGACGAGUUCUCACCGGAAGGCAGGUCCAACACGCGAGUAAUUUCUCGAAGGCGAGGAGAAGAGUCGAAGGAAGGUAAGAGAACAAGGCGGUAGGUCGAGAGAAGGCGGCGGAAAGGAAAGGAGAAGAGGACACACGCGGAGAUGAUCCUCGAGUGCACCGAGGGAAAGAAGCAACGAAAACAGUGAAGAAAGGACAGAGGGGAAAGAGGAUGCAACGAGGACGCUCCUACACCAUGAAGAAUCAGGUGCACACCAAUAUAGGGCCUCUUCAUGACGGAGUGUACGCGACUUUCAGAGACUUUACUUGCCCUUGGCUGUUGCCAAGUGCAUUGGCACGACGACGACGCAGCAUCUCCGCGGACCUCUCGUGGCUCUUUUUCUUGUUGCAUACCCCACCGUGGCGACCGUCGGCGGACAGAGGGAGAGAAAGAGAGCGCUGCCUCCGCUACGUGUAGGCGUACGUGUUGUGCAGGGCCGUGCCGUUAUGAAUUCAAACCUUCAAGCUUUAGAUGCACCCAAGAAGAACCAUCUUGAUCGUUACUGGUGCGGAAGUGAUGACCUUGGAGCGUUUUAAGUCGAAAUUGGUAUUUAGGUCAAUAGGUCUCAUAGCACAGGCUCAUGGUGACAUCUGGUGGUCAAUAGAGGAAGCGUUUGAUGUGUGUUUACUCGUUUCCUUGUUCCAGAGGGAAAGUUGCAAAGAACCGUUACACGAUCUUCAAUUCAAACGUCUCCUCUGCCAAAUACGUGGACAGACCUGCCCAUGAUGGGUGAAGGGGUGUAACGGAUCUUCACGAACUUUCGCGAAAUCUGGACUGGUUGGCCAUCCGGUGAAACGCAGCUAUGACAUCCCAUCGAAGUCCGGUCCCAAGCUGCUCGGCAUUGCUUACUAGCUGCUUCAACAGACCGUCCUGAAACCCAUCCAAAUGGAACAUAUAUUACACAUAGGUGCGUGCGAAGAGGACCAUUGACGAUUAAUUGAUAAGAUUUGCAAGACUUGCUGUGCUAAAUUCAUGUUAAUAAUUUUACUCGUGCAACGUACACUUCCGAUUUAAACAUUCGAGAAAGGCAUCAUUUUUAAUUAUGUUAAUUUUUGGAGGAUAUCUUUUAAUUUAAUAUCUGCAGUAUAAUUUUAUUUUUUUUUUAAAUUGAAAGUUCCCAUUUUUUUUGCAAAUUAAUGAGAUACGUUUUUUGUAAAAAAUAUUAUGCUAAAAGUGAAAAAAAAUGAUGUACAUAUGAAGAUGAAGCUUAAUUGCAACGUUAACCUUUUAUGAUAUGGAUGGAAUUAUAAUUAGAAACCAAUAUGGAGAAGUAUAAAAGUUUCAGUCUUUUUUUGCAGGUUCGUUUGGCACGUUUUUAUGCAAGAGAUUAAAUUAGAAAUACG